ensembl:snRNA U6 U6 spliceosomal RNA
GCACUCACUUUGGCAGCACACAUACUAAAACUGGAACCAUACAGAGAAGAUUAGCGUGGCCCCUGGGCAAGAAUGACAUGCAAAUUUGUGAGGCAUUCCAAAUUUUU